rnacentral:sRNA from 1 species
CCAUUUGGGAGCCUUUAGAAAUAAAACUGCUAUAGAUAUUCAUGUGCAGGAUUUAUGUGGACAUGUUUUCAUUUAUCCAAGAUAAAUGCUCAAGGGGCUAAUUGCUGAUUCUUAAGGACCCUGGAAGUCCCACAGCUCGCAGAUUCUAAACUGCUAGUUGAAAGCACGUCACUUCCAGUAGGUGACUCCUUAAGUCCAUGAAGAUGCAAACAAACAGCCAAGAGAUCUGAAAGUAAAUGGAUUUCAUCAGGCUAAACAAGAGCUGGAGGCCGAGGAGUGGUGCAAGCACCUCUGCAUGGAGUGUCUGGGGACCAGGCUCAAUGACAUCAGCCUUGGGGAGCCCGACCUUCUGGCGGCAGGAGUGCAGCGGGAACAGAAUGAGCGAUUCAACGUGUAUCUUAUGCCUACGCCAAAUCUGGAUAUUUAUGGUGAAUGCACAAUGCAGAUCACUCAUGAAAAUAUCUAUCUCUGGGAUAUCCACAAUGCCAAGGUCAAACUGGUG